AGAGCAGCCGUAGACCCUCAGCUGGCCUCUCUCUGUCCUCAGAAUAUGCUAGAAGUGUGCGCACUGCAGUUACACGAGCCUGUUGGACGUUACCUUGCUGUGUAGCUGUUGGGGAGGGGGGGGAGAAGAAGGUUGCGAAGUUUACCGACUGCAGAUGACUGAGCAUAGUGCUGCCAAAUGGGAUGGCGCUAUAGCAGUGGCAGAUGUGCAUCAGUGUGGCCACAGGCGGUGAAAAGCCCAUAUUAUGAUGGCUGCCAUAAAAUGUGUAGGAUUUUCAAUCACCGUGCAGCAGACGAUUCCCCAGCAUCUCACAAGAUGAUCAGGCCAUAUGACGAG
rnacentral:lncRNA from 1 species